rnacentral:rRNA from 1 species
ACAUGUCCUGUAGUGGGGGAUAGCCCGGCGAAAGCCGGAUUAAUACCGCAUACGAUCUAUGGAUGAAAGCGGGGGACCUUCGGGCCUCGCGCUAUAGGGUUGGCCGAUGGCUGAUUAGCUAGUUGGUGGGGUAAAGGCCUACCAAGGCGACGAUCAGUAGCUGGUCUGAGAGGACGAUCAGCCACACUGGGACUGAGACACGGCCCAGACUCCUACGGGAGGCAGCAGUGGGGAAUUUUGGACAAUGGGGGCAACCCUGAUCCAGCAAUGCCGCGUGUGUGAAGAAGGCCUUCGGGUUGUAAAGCACUUUUGUCCGGAAAGAAAUCGCGCUGGUUAAUACCUGGCGUGGAUGACGGUACCGG